rnacentral:tRNA from 1 species
UGCCUCAUGCUGGAAUCUAACCAGCGAACAUUCUGUUUACUAGACAGACGCUCUGCCCCUGAGCCAAUGAGGC